AUGUAUUACAUGUUUAUUGAAUGAGUGUGUAAAACAUAAAAUCAAAUAAUUCCAAUAUAAUGCAGGAUAUAUGUCCCAAACAUGAGUGAGUGGCUAUGUGAUUUCAGAGAAAGGAGGAAUCACUUUUAGCAGAAUGAUCAGUGAAGAAUUCAUGGAGCUGUAAGAACUGAUAAGGAUUUAAAUUAGGGAGCAGUUCAAAAUGGGGAAUCAUUUGAUAGGCAGAAAUAUGAAAGGAAUUCCCAGGCAGAGAAAACAAACAGAGUAAGACCAUAUGGGGAUGGGGUCGAUACAGCAUGCAAAUAAGUGGCAUCCAGGAGAUGAGUUCAGCAUGAGUAGAUGGAGAAGUAAUGGAAGAAAAUGGAUUGAAGCCAAAUUACAAAGGCCCUGGUUGUUAUACUGAGGACUUCAGCCUUUAUUCUGGAUCAGUGGACUCCAGGUCUCACGGAAUGCUGAAUUUUUCGAGCACUCACCACAAGGUCUCAAGCCCCCGAGGACUACCAGGCAAAUUUCCAACAAAGCUGGGUUCACAACUGAGAAUUCCCAGUGUAUGGCACCACAAGGAAAAUAGCUGCAUUUGGAUAGUGACAUGGAGUGACUUAGAACCAGAACAGGCCUUAGGGAUCAGCUGGUCAUUUGACAUGUAACGGAGAAGAUGAGAGAAGACCAAGGACACACCGCUUAUGGGAGUCAAGAUCAGGACUCUUUCAUGAGGCCGUAUUACGUAGAAAUCAUGCAUCGGACUUACUUGAGUAUUGGUAUUUAGCACCAACACCAAAGUUCAAGAAGAGGAAACAGUACAGCAGUUGCAGUUUCAUAGUCUGAAAAGUACCUGUGUAUUGUUUUCUUUUAAAUCCUUGUGGUAGAGUUGCCUUAUAAUUCUCUUGUUGGAAGAAAGAACAAAGACACUUUAGAAGCAAAGCUGGAUCAGGUUUUUAUUACAUAUUUUAUUAGAUGUUUGGGACAAGAUGACCAAAUUUAAAUAACAUGCUAUAGAAUAUUAAGAUUCAAUAGCAGUUUCAUAUUCCAGAAUACAAAGAGUUAAACUUCUACGUCAAGACCUUCAAAGGUCAUGGUUAAGAGGCAAACAGAAGAGUGCAGAGGUCCCAUCACGACCUGUCUGCUGAAGGCCUCCAUGCCCCUUCGGAUGGGAGCUUUGGGUCAGUUGUACAGUCACAUGGCUCACCCAUUGGUUCGUGUUUUUUUCCAGAAAUAGAAUCAAUAGAGAACAGACAAACCCACAGUUGCCAGUUUGUACAGUCUUGUGGUUUCUGUCAGGGGCUACAGGCUCGAGCAGGUCUACCAGAUAAUGAAGGCAAACUAUUUCAGUUCCUGUGGGUCCAGAGCGCCUCAGCAGAGUUCUGGUUUCAAACAAAUGAAUAACAAAUUAAAAGAGUCAUCACUGUUCAGCUGAACAUCCUUUCAGUUGCACGAAGAUGCCGGAGUAGAGGAAAAAGUGCACACCAUGUGAUUUCUCAA
rnacentral:lncRNA from 1 species